ACCAGUGACGACAACAACUGAUGAAUACACCGGUUCCCAAUAGUUCACUGAAGUUAAGCAACGUUACGCCUGGUUGGUAUCCGGCAGGGUGACCAUCUGGGCGAUCGCGUGCUUACUAUCC
rnacentral:rRNA from 1 species